rnacentral:rRNA from 1 species
CAAAGCACUUUGAAGAGAGAGUUAAAGAGGACGUGAAACCGGUGGGGUGGAAACGGAUAGAGCCAGCGAAUCUGUCCUGUAUUCAGCCGAUCAUUAACGUGAUUGGUGCAUUUGCAGGUGGUGUGCGCUGAGACGGACGGUGCAGCGGUCCUAUGUUUGUGUAGGGGCUUCGUCUUCGGGCGUUGAACUUUCACUUUCGGAAGACUGUUUGUGCUGUGUUGUAAAAGACUAUGGCUUACGUGGUUGCUGGUUUGCUCUGUGGUGUUGGGAGGCGGUCGCAUGCGACACGUGCUUGAUGCUGUUUUGCUUUCUAGUAACCACACUUAGUCAUUCUCGGUGUAAAAGGUGGUCAUCUAUCCGACCCGUCUUGAAACACGGACCAAGGAGUUUAGCGUGUGCGCGAGUCAUUGAGUGUUAAACUCAUAGGCGUAAUGAAAGUGAAUUUAAUAUGCGAUAUAGUACAUCUCGGUGUAUUAUAGCAGCAUGGCCCCGUCCCUAUUGCUUGCAAUGGGGCGGAGGUAGAGCGUAUUCGCUGAGACCCGAAAGAUGGUGAACUAUGCCUGAGCAGGAUGAAGCCAGGGGAAACCCUGGUGGAAGUCCGAAGCGGUUCUGACGUGCAAAUCGAUCGUCUGACUUGGGUAUAGGGGCGAAAGACUAAUCGAACCAUC